rfam:Gossypium raimondii Chr12_contig_856, whole genome shotgun sequence.
UGUUAAAAAUUUAAUCCGAUUGUACUGUUAAAAACUAGGAUGGCUAAGGGAAUAAUCAUAUAGUGACACGUUGUGUCACGUGUACCUCAUGCAAAUGUAUAGGGACUAAUUUUUAAUAAUAGAAAUUGAUAAAUUUUUUAACA